CCUACGGGUGGCAGCAGUGAGGAAUAUUGGUCAAUGGUCGCGAGCCUGAACCAGCCAAGUAGCGUGAAGGAUGACUGUCCUACGGGUUGUAAACCUCUUUUAUCAAGGAAUAAAGUGUGGCACGCGUGCCUUUUUGUAUGUACUUUAUGAAUAAGGAUCGGCUAACUCCGUGCCAGCAGCCGCGGUAAUACGGAGGAUGCGAGCGUUAUCCGGAUUUAUUGGGUUUAAAGGGAGCGUAGAUGGGUUGUUAAGUCAGUUGUGAAAGUUUGCGGCUCAACCGGAAAAUUGCAAUUGAUACUGGCAGUCUUGAGUACAGUUGAGGUAGGCGAAAGUCGGGGGGUAGCGGUGAAAGGCUUAGA
rnacentral:rRNA from 1 species